AGAGCGAACGCUGGCGGCAGGCUUAACACAUGCAAGUCGAGCGGGCGUAGCAAUACGUCAGCGGCAGACGGGUGAGUAACGCGUGGGAACGUACCUUUUGGUUCGGAACAACACAGGGAAACUUGUGCUAAUACCGGAUAAGCCCUUACGGGGAAAGAUUUAUCGCCGAAAGAUCGGCCCGCGUCUGAUUAGCUAGUUGGUGAGGUAACGGCUCACCAAGGCGACGAUCAGUAGCUGGUCUGAGAGGAUGAUCAGCCACAUUGGGACUGAGACAUGGCCCAAACUCCUACGGGAGGCAGCAGUGGGAAUAUUGGACAAUGGGCGCAAGCCUGAUCCAGCCAUGCCGCGUGAGUGAUGAAGGCCCUAGGGUUGUAAAGCUCUUUGUGCGGGAAGAUAAUGACGGUACCGCAAGAAUAAGCCCGGCUAACUUCGUGCCAGCAGCCGC
rnacentral:rRNA from 1 species